UAAGUUGUCAGGACAAUCGCGGCAGCCCUCGAGGCUGAUGAGGAAAGUCCGGGCUCCACAGGGCAGUGUGCUGGAUAACGUCCAGCGAGGGUGACCUCAGGGAAAGUGCCAUAGAGAUUUAGACCGCCUGAGCAAUCAGGUAAGGGUGGAAAGGUGCGGUAAGAGCGCACCAGCAGUCAGGUGACUGGCUGGCUUCGGUAAACCCCACAUGGAGCAAGACCAAAUAGGGAAGGGAUGAUGCGGCCCGCGGAACCUUCCGGGUUGAGUCGCUUGAGCCGGCAGGCAACUGCCGUGCCUAGAUAAAUGAUUGUCACCGCGUGAGCGGAACAGAACUCGGCUUAUUGACGACUUAUAAC
rfam:Mitsuokella multacida DSM 20544 genomic scaffold Scfld1, whole genome shotgun sequence.